rnacentral:rRNA from 1 species
GACGAACGCUGGCGGCGUGCCUAACACAUGCAAGUCGAACGAGGUUCAUCCAGUGGCAACACCGGUGAAGACCUAGUGGCGAACGGGUGAGUAACACGUGAGGAACCUGCCCCGAAGACCGGGAUAACUCUCCGAAAGGAGAGCUAAUACCGGAUGCCCCCACCGGACCGCAUGGUCUGGUGAGGAAAUGGAUUCCGCUUCGGGAGGGCCUCGCGGCCUAUCAGCUAGUUGGUGGGGUAACGGCCCACCAAGGCAUCGACGGGUAGCUGGUCUGAGAGGACGAUCAGCCACACUGGGACUGAGACACGGCACAGACUCCUACGGGAGGCAGCAGUGGGGAAUCUUGCGCAAUGGGCGAAAGCCUGACGCAGCAACGCCGCGUGGGGGAUGAAGGCUCUCGGGUUGUAAACCCCUUUCAGCAGGGACGAAUCAAGACGGUACCUGCAGAAGAAGCCCCGGCUAACUACGUGCCAGCAGCCGCAGUAAGAC